CUGGACCCUGCGCCCUGGGCCCGGCCUACUGGUGCUCCAGUGCUGAGACUGCCCAGCGUUGUGAGGCUCAGCUGUACUGCCGGGACCGCGCCAGGCUGUAGGGGACGGGAGGAGCGGCUGCAGCCCCAAAUAAAGCUUGGAUGCCAGCAGCACGUCGGCCCUCUGCCUCUUUUUGGGGAUGGGGCGGCAAAUUGAGACAAACUGAGACAAAGAAAAGGUUUAAAAACCAGGCAGAAAGAAAAAAAAAAAAAAAA